AUGGCGACCGGCGCACGGGUGAGUAACGCGUAUCCAACCUGCCCUUUACUAUGGGUCAGCCCGUCGAAAGGCGGAUUAAUACCGUAUGUUGUCAUGUUGAUGCAUAUUUUCAUGACCAAAGGCUUCGGCCGGUAAAGGAUGGGGAUGCGUCUGAUUAGCUUGCCGGCGGGGUAACGGCCCACCGGGGCGACGAUCAGUAGGGGUUCUGAGAGGAAGGUCCCCCACAUUGGAACUGAGACACGGUCCAAACUCCUACGGAAGGCAGCAG
rnacentral:rRNA from 1 species